rnacentral:rRNA from 1 species
CCUACGGGAGGCAGCAGUGGGGAAUAUUGCACAAUGGGGGAAACCCUGAUGCAGCAACGCCGCGUGAGUGAAGAAGUCAUUCGGGAUGUAAAGCUCUAUCAGCAGGGAAGCAACUGACGGUACCUGACUAACAAGCCCCGGCUAACUACGUGCCAGCAGCCGCGGUAAUACUGAGGGAGGAAGCGUUAUCCGGAUUUACUGGGUGUAAAGGGAGCGUAGACGGCAACGCAAGUCUAGAGGGAAAUGCCAGUGCUCAACACCGGAACUGCCUUGGAAACUGUGUAGCUAGAGUGGAAGAGAGGUAAGUGGAAUGCCUAGUGUAGCGGUGAAACGCGUAGAUAUUAGGAGGAACACCAGUGGCGAAGGCGGCUUACUGGACUGUAACUGACGUUGAGGCUCGAAAGCGUGGGGAGCAAACAGGAUUAGAUACCUGUGUAGUC